CUAUCAAUCAAGAACCAUCAAAUAUGCUGAAUCAAAAUUCAAGCCGAAUCACUAAUAAACCCCCAAAUAGAUACACAAGAUCCCAUUCCAUUUACCAAUUCUCAAGCUCGCAGUCCAUGAAAGGUAUGCGUUACAAUAACAAUGACUGAACAGAGCACUGUACGUGCAUUAUAGAAAAGUCAAACCGGUUAAUUUUCAAGACACCCUGCAUGCAAUAAAAACUUAUGAUACAUAGCAUGCAAAGUAAUUACCAAAGACCAAAGCUCCCAAAGCUUUUAUGAGUGGCAAGCGAAUGACUAGUGGGAACUACAACUUUGGCAACCCAUACCUUUAGGAUAGGAACUAGGGAGUUAAAAAUGCAACCUUCAUCCCUACUUCAUGCAUAAAGUAAUUAGAAGAUAGCAACGGGACGGAAAUGCAAAUGCGAAUUCAGUAAUGAACAUCCGAAACUAUCUAAGACACAUGAUUAAGAUAUACGCCAAAAAAAAUGUUACAGUUCCUUUUCUAGAAGCAGUGAAGUAUUCGAACAAAUAGUUAAUGGAAUUCACGGGAAAUAGAAAAUAUAGCUAUUAAACAUGUGGACGACUGAACUCAGG